GCGAGUGAAGCGGGAAGAGCACAAAUUUAAAAUCUACCUGGUUUCCAGGUCGAGUUGUAAUUUGAAGAUACGUUUUUGACAUUCCGGGUUGAACUAAAUCCUUUGGGAUAAGGUAUCAUGGAGGGUGAGAAUCCCGUAUAUACCAACCGUAGGGAUGUUAUUUAACACGUUUCUAAGAGUCGAGUUGUUUGGGAAUGCAGCUCUAAAUGGGUGGUAAAUUUCACCUAAUGCUAAAUAUAAGCGAGAGACCGAUAGCGAACAAGUACAGUGAUGGAAAGAUGAAAAGAACUUUGAAAAGAGAGUUAAAUAGUACGUGAAAUUGUUGAAAGGGAAACGAUUGAAGUCAGUCAUGCCAGUGGGAAUCAACUUUGAGGAAACUUUAGGUGCACUUCUUCACUUGGCAGGUUAGUGUCGAUUUUGGAUACCAUAAAAUAACUGGGGGAAGGUAGCUUCUUAGGGAGUGUUAUAGCCCUUGGUAGAUGUGAUGUCUGGGAUUGAGGAUUGCAACGGAUACCCUUUAGGGCUAGUCACCUGAUCUCUAAUUGGUAUUGGGUUACGGAUAGCAUGCUGACCGUGAUCUAAUUAUUGGUUAAAAGGUUAGAGCGUGUAUAAACUCAUUAAGGACGU
rnacentral:rRNA from 1 species